rnacentral:rRNA from 1 species
UGGGGAAUAUUGCGCAAUGGGGGAAACCCUGACGCAGCAACGCCACGUGAGUGAGGAAGGUUUUCGGACUGUAAAGCUCUGUUAGCUUGGAAAAAUGGCAGAUCAUCUAAUAGGUGGUUUGUUUGAUGGUACAAGCAGAGGAAGCACCGGCUAACUUCGUGCCAGCAGCCGCGGUAAUACGAAGGGUGCAAGCGUUAUUCGGAUUUAUUGGGCGUAAAGCGCGCGUAGGCGGGCGGAUAAGUCAGAUGUGAAAUCUCGGGGCUCAACCCCGAAACUGCGUCUGAAACUGUCUGUCUAGAAUACCGGAGGGGGAGGGGGAAUUUCACAUGUAGGGGUAAAAUCCGUAGAGAUGUGAAGGAACACCAGAGGCGAAGGCGCCCUCCUGGACGGUUAUUGACGC